GCCUCCGUGGCCGAGUGGGUAUCACACUGGGCUUGCACUUCGGAGGUCCCGGGUUCAAUUUCCGGCGGGGUCG
rfam:Asian citrus Psyllid, Diaphorina citri - Florida Strain, whole genome shotgun sequence.